AGUGAACGCUGGCGGCAGGCCUAACACAUGCAAGUCGAACGAGUGGCGGACGGGUGAGUAAUGUCUGGGAAACUGCCCGAUGGAGGGGGAUAACUACUGGAAACGGUAGCUAAUACCGCAUACCAUCGGAUGUGCCCAUAUGGGAUUAGCUUGUAGGUGAGGUAACGGCUCACCUAGGCGACGAUCCCUAGCUGGUCUGAGAGGAUGAUCAGCACAACUGGAACUGAUGCACGGUCCAGACUCCUACUGGAGGCAGCAGUGGGGAAUAUUGGUCAAUGGGCGAAAGCCUGAUCCAGCCAUGCCGGGUGUGUGAAGAAGGUCUUCGGAUUGUAAAGCACUUUAAGUUGGGAGGCGUUACCAACAGAAUAAGCACCGGCUAACUUCGUGCCAGCAGCCGCGGUAAUU
rnacentral:rRNA from 1 species